rnacentral:rRNA from 1 species
GACGAACGCUGGCGGCGUGCUUAACACAUGCAAGUCGAACGGAAAGGCCCUGCUUUUGUGGGUUGCUCGAGUGGCGAACGGGUGAGUAACACGUGAGUAACCUGCCCUUGACUUUGGGAUAACUUCAGGAAACUGGGGCUAAUACCGGAUAUGAGCUCCUGCUGCAUGGUGGUGGUUGGUAAGUUUCGGCGGUUGGGGCUGGACUCGCGGGUUACCCGCUUGUUGGUGGGGUAGUGGCUUACCAAGGCUUUGACGGGUAGCCGGCCUGGGAGGGGUACCGGCCACAAUGGGACUGAGAGACGGCGCAGACUCCUACGGGAGGCAGCAGUGGGGAAUAUUGCACAAUGGGCGGAAGCCUGAUGCAGAAACGCCGCGUGCGGGAUAACGGGCUUCGGGUUGUAAACCGCUUUCGCAGGUGACGAAGAGUGAGUGACGGUAAUGGGUAAAGAAGCACCGGCUAACUACGUG